rnacentral:tRNA from 1 species
GUGCCCGUAGCUCAGCUGGAUAGAGCGCUAGACUGCGGAUCUGGAGGCCGGGCGUUCGAAUCGCCCCGGGCACG